UAAGACGAACCACACGAACGUUAUUCGGAAUCACUGGGCUUAAAGGGUGCGUAGGCGGCGCGGAAAGUAGGGUGUGAAAUCCCUCGGCUCAACCGAGGAAUUGCGCUCUAAACUACCGUGCUCGAGGGAGAUAGAGGUGAGCGGAACUUAGGGUGGAGCGGUGAAAUGCGUUGAUAUCCUAAGGAACACCGGUGGCGAAAGCGGCUCACUGGAUCUCUUCUGACGCUGAGGCACGAAAGCUAGGGUAGCGAACGGGAUUAGAUACCCCGGUAGUCCUAGCCGUAAACGAUGAGCACUGGAUCGAAGGGUCCUCCAUAGCCUUUUGGUCGCAGCGAAAGUGUUAAGUGCUCCGCCUGGGGAGUAUGGUCGCAAGGCUG
rnacentral:rRNA from 1 species